AAGCAUAUCAAUAAGCGGAGGAAAAGAAACCAACAGGGAUUGCCUUAGUAGCGGCGAGUGAAGCGGCAAAAGCUCAAAUUUGAAAUCUGGCGGCCUCGUCGUCCGAGUUGUAAUUUGAAGAAGGUAUCUUUGGGUCUGGCGCUUGUCUAUGUUCCUUGGAACAGGACGUCACAGAGGGUGAGAAUCCCGUGCGAUGAGCAGUCCAGAUCCGUGCAAAGCUCCUUCGAAGAGUCGAGUUGUUUGGGAAUGCAGCUCUAAGUGGGUGGUAAAUUCCAUCUAAAGCUAAAUAUUGGCGAGAGACCGAUAGCGAACAAGUACAGUGAUGGAAAGAUGAAAAGAACUUUGAAAAGAGAGUGAAAAAGUACGUGAAAUUGUUGAAAGGGAAGGGCUUGCGAUCAGACUUGGUAUUUUGUAUGUCUUGCUUUCGGGCGGGGCCUCUGCAGUUUACUGGGCCAGCAUCGGUUCGGGUGGCAGGACAAUUGCGGAGAAAUGUGGCACGG
rnacentral:rRNA from 1 species